rnacentral:rRNA from 1 species
GACGAACGCUGGCGGCGUGCUUAACACAUGCAAGUCGAACGAUGAAGUUAUGACGGAGGCUUCGGCCGACAGAAUAACGGAAUAGUGGCGGACGGGUGAGUAACGCGUGAGUAACCUGCCUUUCAGAGAGGAAUAACAUUUGGAAACGAAUGGUAAUACCACAUAACAUUACGUUCUCGCAUGGGGAUGUAAUCAAAGAUUUAUCGCUGAGAGAUGGACUCGCGUCCGAUUAGCUAGAUGGUGAGGUAACGGCCCACCAUGGCGACGAUCGGUAGCCGGACUGAGAGGUUGAACGGCCACAUUGGGACUGAGACACGGCCCAGACUCCUACGGGAGGCAGCAGUGGGGAAUAUUGCACAAUGGGCGAAAGCCUGAUGCAGCAACGCCGCGUGAGGGAAGACGGUUUCGGAUUGUAAACCUCUGUUUUCGGUGACGAACAAAUGACGGUAACCGAGUAGGAAGCCACGGCUAACUACGUG